AGAGAACAGAAAUGCCUGUCAUAGAGCAGACCCUAAGAAAGAAGUGCAUUGGAAUGAGCUGACAGUCCUCAGCUUGGCUGCAGAUGGCUGCAGCUCAAGGAACACACUCUGGAACUACAAGUGCGGUGUGACACCAUCCCUCCUCUUUUAUGAAUCUGGAGAUUAAACUUCAGUCUUCAUGCUUGCAGAACAAGCACUUCUCUGACUGAACAUCUUACCAAUCCGGGUCCUGAUAAUACCAACCUAGCAACCAGUCCACAGCCUCAUCCAUGCAAAAACUCAAAACAACUCAGAGCAACUGUCAGAAGUUUCAGUUCUACACAGAAAUUAAGAUCUACAGUAAUGCCUAUAUCUGAAAAUAUUUUUUCUCCAUCUUUAUUAAAUUGGGUAUUUCUUAUUUACA